rnacentral:tRNA from 1 species
GCCUUCAUGGUGUAGUGGUCAACACGCUGGGCACGUAUUCUAGAGAUCCGCGGUUCGAGUCCCGGUGAAGGCA